rnacentral:snoRNA from 1 species
UGGGCCAUAAUGAUAGUAUGGCAUGAACCAAGGGUUAUGAUUAAUCCAAUCUUGCAUACCUAAGAUCCAAA